rnacentral:rRNA from 1 species
AGAGUUUGAUCCUGGCUCAGGAUAAACGCUGGCGGCGCACAUAAGACAUGCAAGUCGAACGAACUUAAUUGAGAGCUUGCUCUCAAAGCGGUUAGUGGCGGACUGGUGAGUAACACGUAAGCAACCUGCCUAUUAGAGGGGAAUAACAGCGAGAAAUCGUUGCUAAUACCGCAUAUGCUGCGAGUAUCGCAUGAUACAAGCAGGAAAGGAGCAAUCCGCUAAUAGAUGGGCUUGCGUCUGAUUAGUUAGUUGGUGGGGUAACGGCCUACCAAGACGAUGAUCAGUAGCCGGACUGAGAGGUUGAACGGCCACAUUGGGACUGAGAUACGGCCCAGACUCCUACGGGAGGCAGCAGUCGGGAAUAUUGCGCAAUGGAGGAAACUCUGACGCAGUGACGCCGCGUGCAGGAAGAAGGUUUUCGGAUUGUAAACUGCUUUUAACAGGAAAGAAAAAAAUGACGGUACCUGUUGAAUAAGCUCCGGCUAACUACGUGCCAGCAGCCGCGGUAAUACGUAGGGAGCGAGCGUUAUCCGGAUUUAUUGGGUGUAAAGGGUGCGUAGACGGAAAUGCAAGUUAGUUGUGAAAUACCUCGGCUUAACUGAGGAACUGCAACUAAAACUAUAUUUCUUGAGUAUCGGAGGGGUUUGUGGAAUUCCUAGUGUAGCGGUGAAAUGCGUAGAUAUUAGGAAGAACACCGGUGGCGAAGGCGACAAACUGGACGAUAACUGACGUUGAGGCACGAAAGUGUGGGGAGCAAACAGGAUUAGAUACCCUGGUAGUCCACACC